UACGUAGGGUGCAGGCGUUACUCGGAAUUACUGGGCGUAAAGCGUGCGUAGGCGGUUUGUUAAGACAGGUGUGAAAUCCCCGGGCUUAACCUGGGAACUGCGCUUGUUACUGGCAGACUGGAGUGUGGCAGAGGGGGGUGGAAUUCCAGGUGUAGCAGUGAAAUGCGUAGAUAUCUGGAGGAACACCGAUGGCGAAGGCAGCCCCCUGGGCUAACACUGACGCUGAUGCACGAAAGCGUGGGGAGCAAACAGG
rnacentral:rRNA from 1 species